rnacentral:lncRNA from 1 species
UUACCUGAGAAAUGGAAUUUCGACGAAAAUUACGGAAUUACACCCUUGAAAAUGAUCCCGUCACAACUCACGAGCCUGAAAUAAAAAUUUAUAUAAAAUUAUGAUACUUAACUUAUGCAUUAUCAAAUUUAAGUAAAAUUAAAUUUAGGGCAUUGUCGCAUUGUAAGAAGUUAUCCAAAUCAAUUCCUUCAAUUAAGUUAUCAAAUUCAUUCACUUUAUCACACUUCCUACAUAGUAAAAUCCCAACAAAAGACUUUAAAAGCCCAAUUUUCAACAAUAUUUUAUUUUAUUUUUAUUUUUAUUUUUUUAUUUUUUUUGGGUAUGAAGUAUUCAGUAUGCCAAAUCUACUAGAAAUAUUAAUUAGAAAGGGAUCACGAUGAAACCCUCAAUCUUGCUAAAUAUUUUUAAACUUACUAGAACCAGUACUAUAACAAAAAGGAAAUCUCAUCAUACUUUGAUCAAGCAAAAAUCCAAAAAAAAAAUAUCGCUGAAGUCUUGAACGUUCAUCGUGUGAUUGAAAAAGAGAGCCAUUUUAAUCUUGUUCAUAUUUUCAAUUUCCUUCACAACUACAUUGUGAUUAGGAUGCUACUGCUGGGGAUUUUCUCCAAUUUACCCUACAAUUUAAAAUGUAAUAAGGGGACGAACUAAAAAACACAAGAAUUGAACCGAUCGGGCCUAUCUAGUUUUCAAAACCUUGAAUGUUCAGUGCAAAGUUAAGAUCAUUAACAUUUAAAUUGAAAAAUUUAUAGGUUCUUCAUACUUGUUUGGAAAUUUAAAUGCUUUUCCACCACUGGUACAACUAGACAACCAGUUAGCAUUGUGGAGAACAAAAGACUAAAAGAACUCGGUCCAACAAUGCACAAACAAGAGACCAUCUCUCAAAAUUUCCCAAAACAUUAAGAAAUAUGAAGGAUAUGUUACAAAUCUAUGAACCAUUGAAACCCCUCAAAAUUCCAAAAGAAGUGCAGUUACCGUUCUUUGACUUUGUCAAUCGAUGCCCAUUGCCAAUUUGCCCAAUAAGCCAAUAUUCGAUCGACGAGCAGACUUCGACCGACUUCUCAAAGAUUUUGGGAACUGGUGUACGAAGCGAUCGGCGGCAGAAGGGCGAAGGCGGACUGGUGGAGACUGGAGUGACCUAAUGGAGACAACACAGACACUUAGAUGAUGAGCAGGUCAUGAAUCGUAUUUCAGAUUUUGGGAUUUUUAGGUAAAUGGAUUGUGAAUAUUGGAUAUAUAAGUUGGGUUGGAAUUUAAGGGUAAAUGGAUUUGUGGGUUGUUGUUUAGUUAUUGGAUAAUUAGUUUUGGGCCAACUACCUUGUUUGGGGGGGGGGGGGGGGGGGGGGGGGAAUCUGGGCCAAAAUUAGGCCCCCUAUGGUCUUGGGUCUGAGGCGCAGGCCUCAUUGGCCUCACCCCAGGACCGGGCUUGACUGAAGUAGUACUAAGAAAGAAAAAAUAAGCUAAAAAUACUUAUCCAUUAUGCAUAGCAAGCAUUCACCAAAUGCAUUAGAUCUAAAUUUUAGCAGUAAACUUUGAUCUUCUCAUUCAUCCAUAAUAUUCAAAAACUAGAUGAAGCAUAUCAAAGUUUUAAACUUGAUUGUCUUUUGAAAAUCAUGAGCAAUUGAAAGUGCUUGCCAGUUGCCACGGUAUUAAUAGUUAACACUGUUAAUCUACAUGUAACCCGACAUUGGAAAUAGUUUCUUUAAUUCAAUAAACUAGAUCAUCUGGAUGUUCACAUAUAUGUUAUAUCAUGAAUAAAGGAUUCGAACUUUUACCUAAAUUCGAUCUUGAAGUAUAUCUUGGUUUGGUUCUGACAUGGACUUUUAUCACUCCGGUGACGAGCAUUUUAAGUUCAUGCAGGACAUUCAGGUUCACAAUAUGCAAAAGCAGUUAUAUGGGGACACACAUACCUUGGUUCCAGCCACAAUAGUGCCAUUUAGGGGAUGAGCUGCACAUUCAGUAACACCUUUAGAUAAUGACAAAAAUUUGUUUCGUUUAUGCUGGCUGGCUGGUUCCUCAGUGCUCAUUAAAUCAUCGUCGCUGGCAAUAAACUUUGCGUUAUCAGCAACCUCACGUCAACGUUUAGUCUCUAAUUUAUCCCCUGUCCUUCCUGCUUGCUAAUCAAAAUCAAAAGCGAGGGGGAAAUUACAC